rnacentral:tRNA from 1 species
UGUUUGGUAGUCUAAUUAAGAUUUUAAAUUGUAAAUUUAAAGAUGUAUUCUCAAACAA